UACGAACAUUAUUUAUCUGAAAUAUUACACUUGUCCUUAUCUAUACGUACAUGUAUUCACAACUAUAAGGAGAUAUACCUUAAAAAUUGCAAAUAAGUAGAGAUGGAAACACCGUCUAUUGGGACCUUACUUCUUACGUUCUUCGUGCUUGGAUCUGUUACAACCAGUGGAGUAGACCCGAGUAAGGUGGAACUGCAUAAAGAUUUUGAAAGCGUUAAUGCCAAGUCCAGGAGAUUUCUUAUGACCCAUCAUUCAAAUAUGCCCUGGAUGUCAUGGAGACAACACGUGGCUUGCCUUACCACGUGUGUUAAUGGAUAUGAAGCAGAAACGGUAGCUUGUUGUACAACUGGAGAUAACAGAUUAUGUCUCAACCUUCCAUUUGGACUUCUUAAUAGUUCCAUUGGGAGUUGUCCAGACUUCUGUCAAAGAAAAUCUGCGGUAAAUUGUGGAACACAAUCUGACCAAGUUUGCGGCUCAAACGGCGUGACAUAUGCAAAUAUGUGUGAGUUUUCAAAAGCGGUUUGCGACAACGACGCAUUGAGAGAAGUUAAAAGAGGACCCAUGUCCUCAAAUAGCAACACCUACGACAACUGCAGAUCCAAUUGUAGAAGCAUUUUGUAGUGCAAAGAACGCAAUAGUAUGUGGAACUGAACUUGCUGCUGUCUGUAGCUCAGACAGACAUGCUUUAUCUGAACAAAUGCGAAUUUAGCAAAGCAUAUUGCAACGAUCGAAAGCUUACUCGCAUGACGUGGGAUAUUUGUGUAAAAGAUUUCUGUCAAAGUAAGUCUACGACAACAUGUGGAACACAAUCAGACCAAGUUUGUGGAUCAGACGGCGUGAUAUAUGCAAAUAUGUGUGAGUUUUCAAAAGCGGUUUGCGACAACGACACGUUGAGAGAAGUUAAAAGAGGUCCAUGUCCUCAGAUAACAACACCUGUGACAACUGCGGCAGUGACCUUGGAUCCCAUUAUGCAAGCAUUUUGUAGUAACA
rnacentral:misc_RNA from 1 species